UGUAAGCGUAUACCAAAGUUGUUGCAGUUAAAACGCUCGUAGUCGGAAUUUGGCAGUUCCGGAUGUGUGCGCGUCGUGUGCGCACUUCGCGGGGAUUGCUUUUGUGGUCUUGCGUAGGAUGAGGCACUUUUAUUAGUGAACGUCCUCACGCAACCACUUUUUACUGUGAGAAAAUCAGAGUGCUCAAAGCAGGCACUUGCCGUGAAUGUAUUAGCAUGGAAUAAUAGAAUAGGACUUGGUUCUAUUUUGUUGGUUUGUUGGGACUGAGUAAUGAUUAAGAGGGACAGUUGGGGGCAUUUGUAUUUCGGUGCUAGAGGUGAAAUUCUUAGAUUACCGAAAGACAAACUGCUGCGAAAGCGUCUGCCAAGGAUGUUUUCAUUGA
rnacentral:rRNA from 1 species